rnacentral:snoRNA from 1 species
UUGUCCGGUGAUGAUCGAACUAAAUACAUACUUUCAUUCUUCUGAUGCGCUAUCUCAUAGGUUGGUGCAGAAGCGAUUUGGGGAUCUUAACUGAGGAAAU